UACGGAAGGGGCAAGCGUUGUUCGGAAUCAUUGGGCGUAAAGGGCGCGUAGGUGGUUUUGUAUGUCUACCGUGAAAGCGUACGGCUCAACCGUAUUUUGUCGGUGGAAACUGCAGGACUUGAGGCUGGGAGGGGCUGGUGGAAUUCCUGGUGUAGCGGUGAAAUGCGCAGAUAUCAGGAAGAACACCCGUGGCGAAGGCGGCUCUCUGGUACGUGACUGACGCUGAGACGCGAAAGCGUGGGGAGCGAACAGG
rnacentral:rRNA from 1 species